UUAAUGCUGAAAGGUACAUACAGGUUUGGGAGCAAAAUAUGCUGCCAUCCAAGCAGUGUCUUUUUCAGGGACAUCCCUGCUCAUUUCAGCGAGACAAUUCCAAACCACAUUCUGCAUGUGUUACAACAGCGUGGCUUGUUAGUAAAAGAGUGAGUAUUAGACUGGCCUCCCAGCAGUUUAUUAUGAAGCACAAAAUACGACAGAGAUCCGGGACAAUUGAGCAACGUAAGUUGUAUAUCAAGCAAGAAUGGGAAAUAAUUCCACCUACAAAGCUUCAACAAAUAGUGUCCUCAGAUCCCAAACGCUUUUGAGUGUUGUUCAAAGGAAAGGUGAUGUAUCACAGUGGUAAAUGUGCCCCUGUCCCAGCUUUUUGGGAACAUGUUGCAGACAUCAAAUUCUAAAUGAAUGAAUAUUUGCAAAAAAAGUUUGAUUAUUAACUCAUUCCCUCCCAAUGCCGUCCAAAGACGUCAUUAAGAAUCCAUCUAUUCCCUGCUAAUGCCGUCUAGAGACAUCAAUGGCGUUUUUUUAACGGGGAUGGGUGAGGGAGGGUCUUGUGCAGUUUGUGUGUGAUCGUCAAGCCUGUGGAUAACUGCAAUGAGGAUUGGCACCCUGUAGAGGGCAACAAUGCCUUGAGGUGAAUGUCCCUCCCUCAGAGGAAGAAGAGGGAGGGGGCAGGCCUGCGGGGUACAAGAGACAGUGAGAAGAGAAACAUAAUGGCGGAAAAGAGUGAAGACAAAAUGGGGGGGGGGGGAGAAUAAAAAAUUAAAAUAAAUAAAUAAAAAGCUUUCGAUACUACAAAUUUAUUGCGCCAAGGCAAGAAAAAUAUUCCUGCGACCGACAGGAAUGACGCCUUAGAUCAUGCGGGGAAUGUUCCAAAGCUAACGCGCAAAAUGCCGGCCCAUACAUAUGGCAAGAUGCUCUCGGGCGCUUGCUGGCUGAUCGUCUGCUGACCAGGAUUUGAAUAAAUGGGAUCCGGAAUAGUCAAGAGAGUGAACUCCCUUUUGGAUAGCCAGGAAUUCAACACCCGCGAGUCGAGCGUCUUUUAGGAUUGCGAAGAAGAAAGGCUAUGCAUCCAGCAGACAUUCGAGUCCCAUUCCAGUAUGCAGUGCACACAAAAAAGAGGUUCUGCUUCGAGCAGAAGUAGUGACUGGUUUCAAGGAGAAUGACAACCACACAAGAUCCCAUUCAAUGCCAACAGAGGAUAAAACUUUGCUAGAUUUUAUGUGCAAGGUAAUAAAAACCUGGACUAUUGAGCA